rnacentral:tRNA from 1 species
GCCUUCGUGGUGUAGUGGUCAGCAUGCUCGACGCGUAACCGAGAGGUCCAUGGUUCGAUUCCCGGCGAAGGUG